AAGUAUAUAAAGAAACUAUUACGGAUAUCUAGCUAUAUAUGAAAAAGAGUUUAUUUAAUUUGUGUAGGCGUAUUUAGCGUAACGUUUUUUUCUGAUAAAAAAAAACGCUAACCGUUAAACACGACAGAGCACAUGAACUUUUGGAAAAAUCCGAUAUAUAAACGAAGUGAAUUGAAAUAUCUUAUUAGCUUCAGGAAUAAAAAUCAAACGAGAUUCUAUGAUUAGUGUGAAUUAAAGUAGAAUAGCCUAAAAGUAAAAUGGAUUAAAAUCUGUUUGAAUAUAGGGGAACCUUCCUCUAAGGCUAAAUAUCAUAUAUAAGCGACAGUAAAAAGUACCGAAAGGGAAAGUUUUGAACUAGUAGUUUUAUAAGCAGCUCAAGUAAAAUUUAAAUAAAAAAUUAGAGCGUACCUUUUGCAUAAUGGGUCAGCAAGUUAAUAUUAGAUGCGAGAUAGCGUAAGCGCUUUUCCUAGAUAAACCGAUUAUUAAAUAAUGAAUUAGUAUCUAAAAUUAGACCCGAAGCCUGGUGAUCUUACCAUGAUCAGGGUUAUAAAAGCCCGAACGGGUUAUCGUUGUAAAGAUAUCCGAAGAAUUGUGGUAAGUUAGUGAAAGACAAUACUGACCAGGAUAGCUGGUUUUCCGCGAAACCUAUAUAAGUAGGUAAUUCAAAUAACAUCAUAGCAGGUACAGAAUUGUGAUCUCAGACAAAUAGUUUUCUUAGAAGACUUUUGUAUAUAUCGGGGGAUCGUGAAGAUUUUAUCGGUGAGAAUUUGCUCUCGGAAGGGCAAUGAUGAAUAUUGAAUAAUCGGACAUAGUACGAUAAGGUUGUAUGUCCAAAGGGAAACAGCCCAGAACAAGUGUUUAAGGUUCCAAAAUUAUUGUUAAGUGAAAUUAAGGAAGUUUUUUUCAAAUACAACCAGGAAAUAGGCUUAGAAGCGGCCAUUUUUUGAAGACCUCGUAACAGAGCACUGGUUCAAUUAACAAGUUAAAAGCACCGAAAAUUUAACGGAUCUAAACAAUAUACCGACACCUUGUCCAUAAGUAUUAAUAAAAUGACAUAUUGUAUUUAUGGGGUAGCGGAACGUUGGGCAAAUCUCAGAUGUAAUCUUUUUAAGAUUAUAUACCAUAGAUACUAUAGAACAGUAUGUAAGUUAGAUAACCCAAGUGAGAAUGCUGGCAUGAGUAACGAAAAAGGGACAAACAAUACGUGGAACUCGCGGACCGUCCCUCGCCUAAAGCUUAUGGUAUAUAUAUCAAGUAACGGCCUCUAAGUUUAUUGACCUGCCCUAAAGGACUAAACGAUGAGAAAAUCUUUUUAUAUAUCCGACAACCCACCUGAGUAGGUGGCGUUCUGGAAAAAGAUAUAUAAUUAUUAACCGUACCUAGACACUACCUCAAGUAAGCUAGUAGAGAAUACGAAGGCGUUUGAGCUAACAAUCAUUAAGGAACUCGGCAAAAUGACACCGUAACUUCGGGAUAAGGUGUGCCAUUCUUCCUGAAUAAUAUCAGGUUAAGAAUAGGAGGCAUAGAAUGGUGUUGUACGACUGUUUAAUUAAAACAAAGCACUUUGCGUAAGAUGAUAAAUCAAAGUAUUGAGUGUGAAUUCUGCCCAAUGUUGGCUGGUUAACGGAUUUUCUUAGCUGACUAAAAUAUGCUAGGUUUUGAAGGAACCCCCAAUCAAUGGCGGCCUUACCGAUGAGGGUCCUAAGGUAGCGGAAUACCUUGGCCGUUAAAUGCGGUCUUGCAUGAAUGAUUUAACGAUACAACAGCUGUCUCAAUGAUUGGCUCAGUGAAAUUGGAAUAACUGUGCAGAUACAGUUUACCUCUAGUUAGACGAGAAGACCCUAUGCAGCUUUACUGUUACUAGUUAUUGGAUAUGAUCAAACAAGUUGUAGUGUAUAAGGUAGUUGAUAAGAUACAAUUGAAACACCUUUAUUUAGUUUAUCAUAUCAGUAGAAUACCACGAAAGGUGUGAAUACAUCAGUGUUCACAAUUAGUAGGUAAAAUCUACAUUACUUAUCCAAAAAGGAAGAGGGGCAUCGACCAUAGGUCGGUGCCCGGGAAACAGUUGCUAGUAGACGGUUUAUGCGGGGCACAGAUCCCAUAAAAAGUACCUGGGUGUAUCCAAAGUUAAUUUUGUAAAUUUGCUUACUGUCGCAUCGCUUUUGCUUUGCGAUAGCUAGCAAUUAAACAUGUGUAGCCUUGCUAAGGCUUUCGUGGCAUAUUUUUGCCUGUCAUGUCUUAGCUUGUCAAGCGUGUUUUUUUAUUUUAGUUUGCUAUAUUUUAUCUCAUGAUAAUUUAUUCAGUUAUAUAUCUAUUAAGUUAGAUUUAUUAUAUUUAUUUUAAGUAAGAUUUUAACUAUAUGGAAAAUAGAUGUAAAUAAAACAUUAAUAUCAAAUUGUAAUGUUUUAACUUGUUUUAUUCUUUUUAAGGAAUAAAAUGAUUUUUAUAUUUACUUAUAAAGUUUAAUGGCUUAAUCUUGCUUUACUGUUUGACUUACACGUCUAUCAGUCGCGUAAGCGGGGCAUAUGAUCACAAGAUGCAGAAAGGAAAGGUCUUGGAUUUUUGAAAAAGCUACGCUAGGGAUAACAGGCUAAUUGCGCCAGAGAGUACAAAUUGAGUGCGCAGUUUGGCACCUCGAUGUCGGCUUAGCUCAUCCACAUGAAUGCAGGAAUCAUGAAGGGUACGACUGUUCGUCGAUUAAAGAGCUACACGAGCUGGGUUAAAUACGUCGUGAGACAGUAUGGUUUCUAUCUUCUAGAGGAAAUUAGAGUAAAAUAAGGAUAGCCCCUUCGUACGAAAGGAGUUGGGUAUAUUAACCCCUGGUUUACCUGUUGUUUAUGUAACCAAUAUUAACCGUUUUACCGUUUUACCGUUUUUCUUUGAAAAACGUUAAAACGUUAUACGCUAUACAGAACAACUACUUGUUUUGUAGGGAUAUUACUAUUACUCUCGUAUAUAUAAAUAGCAUAGGCACGGCAGGAAAGCUAUGUUAGUUAAAGAUAAGUGCUGAAUGCAUAUAGGCACGAAACUUACCUUAAGAUACUCUUAAAUAUACGUAGUAGAACACUACGAAUCUUAUUUAAUAAGCUUUAUUGCUUAUUAAAUAAUGCAUAGGCUUUAGCUUAAAGGAUUUUGAUGUCUUCAGGUAUAAAGUACUAAUUUUAUUAAAAACUAAAUAA
rnacentral:rRNA from 1 species